UCGAGAAUCUUCCGCAAUGGACGAAAGUCUGACGGAGCGACGCCGCGUGAUGGAUGAAGUCCCUCUGGGACGUAAACAUCUUUUAUGAGGGAGAAAGUUUAUUGAUAGUACCUCACGAAUAAGGGGUUGCUAAACUCGUGCCAGCAGCAGCGGUAAUACGAGUGCCCCGAGCGUUAUCCGGAAUCAUUGGGCGUAAAGGGUGUGUAGGUGGCAUUGUUAGUCACACGUUAAACCCUGGGGCUUAACCCCAGAUCUGCGUGUGAUACGGCAAAGCUAGAGGAUGGCAGGGAUGUAUGGAACUCAUGGAGUAGGGGUGAAAUCCGUUGAUAUCAUGGGGAACACCGAAAGCGAAGGCAGUACAUUGGGCCACUCCUGACACUGAAACACGAAAGCGUGGGUAGCGAAUGGGAUUAGAUACCCUCGUAGUCCCUGAGCGGGCUGGCAAGGCGCAU
rnacentral:rRNA from 1 species